CGAAAGUUUUAUCCUGGCUUUAAUUCUCAGUUUUAAAUUAAGGCACAUGUAAAUUUUAGUAAGACUAUAAGCAUAUAAUUAGAUCUUAACGACAACUAUAUGGAGUUCUUUAUAGAUAUUUUUAUAAUAAAUAAACUCUCAGUGUCUAGUGCUAAAAAAUAAAUGAAAGUUUUAGUUGGUUAUUUUAAUUAAACAAGAAUAACCGGUUAAAAUUUGUGCCAGCAGCCGCGGUUAGACUGAAGGUUAAAUUGAGAAAUUAUUAGUUAAAAGUAAUUAGAUGUAUACACAUAUCGUACAAUUAAGAUACCUGUGCUAAUAAAAGGUGAAAUUAAAUUUUUAGUUAGGAGAUAACUUAUAGUAUAAUUAAAAUAAAUAUUGAAGUUAUUAAGGUAAAGGGACAAACUAGGAUUAGAUACCCUACUAUGCUUUACUUUAAAUCAUACUACUGGGGUAGUAAGCAGCUAUAAACUUGAAACUCAAAGGAUUUGGCGGUAGCUUAGUCUACUUAGAGGAACCUGUCCUGUAAACGACAAACCACGAAAUAUCUUACCUUGCUUUGUAAACAUAUCAGCUUGUAUACCGUCAUUAUCAGAUAACUCUAUUAAGAUAAUAGUUAUUACAAUAAAAAAUUUUUAAAAUAUUAGAUCAAGGUGCAGCUAAUAACAAGGUAGAGAUGGGUUACAAUAAAUAAAACUAUUACGGAUAAAAAGCAUAAAAUUUUUUUGAAGGAGGAUUUAAAUGUAAGGGUAUUUUAAUAAGCUACCUUGACUUGAGCUCUAAGCUAUGUACACAUCGCCCGUCGCUCUCGUUAAUUAAAGCGAGAUAAGUCGUAACAUAGUAGGUGUACUGGAAAGUGCACCUAGUAGGCA
rnacentral:ncRNA from 1 species